AGACCAUGGUGAGGGCAUCUUUGUACUAUCAACUUGAAUCACUCCCAAGCUUCAUGAAAGCUUUCUCCUUCCAAUUGACUAUAAAGUGUUUAGAGCUGUCUAU